rnacentral:rRNA from 1 species
CAUUACCGAGUGCGGGCCCUUUGGGUCCAACCUCCCACCCGUGUUUAUCGUUCCUUAUUGCUUCGGCGGGCCCUUGUGCCCGCCGGAGACACUUUUUUGAACACUGUCUGAAGGUUGCCGUCUGAGUCGAUUUUUUAAAUCAUUUAAAACUUUCAACAACGGAUCUCUUGGUUCCGGCAUCGAUGAAGAACGCAGCGAAAUGCGAUAAGUAAUGUGAAUUGCAGAAUUCAGUGAAUCAUCGAGUCUUUGAACGCACAUUGCGCCCUCUGGUAUUCCGGAGGGCAUGCCUGUCCGAGCGUCAUUGCUGCCCUCAAGCCCGGCUUGUGUGUUGGGUCGCCGUCCCUCCCGAUCUUUGGGGAGGGACGGGCCCGAAAGGCAGCGGCGGCACCGCGUCUGGUCCUCGAGCGUAUGGGGCUUUGUCACCCGCUCUGGAGGUCUGACUUGGUGCCUGCCGAUCAACCUUAUAUUCUCUCCAGGUUGACCUCGGAUCAGGUAGGGAUACCC